GGCAGUGGUGGCUCAGUGGUUAAGGCUCUGGGUUACUGAUCAGAAGGUCGGGGUUCAAGCACCUGCAAUGCCA